AGGAGGCACAACUUGAUGGCAAUGUAGUCACAGAUUUGCCAAGUGAUCCUAUAUUGCACAACAUGAGAACUCGAAGGGUUCAAGCUGCCAGCAUGGGCAUAUCAGAAUCAAGACAAAAGCAAGUCUACCUUAUUUCACUGAUAAACAAAGGCAGAGUUGUGGCCAAAGGGAAGUUAGUGACUACAGAUAGCCAAAGAGAAAUAUUAGGAGCAAAGCUUGGACUAGAAUAUUGUGGGGUUCUUGUUGAAGGCCUUGAAAAUAUUGAACUUGGAAAUAUUAUAUAUGAGGAGGUACCUAGACCAUCUAAUCAGAUUCGUACACUAAUUGAUGCUAUUAGCUAUGUUAUUCCUUGGCCAAUUACACAU